rnacentral:sRNA from 1 species
GCUGGAUGUGGUGGCGCACACCUGUCAUCCCAGCAGCUUGGGAGGCUGAGGCAGGAGGAUCGCAAGUUCCAAGCCAGCCUCAGCAAGAAUGAGGUGCUAAGUAGCUCAGUGAGACCUGUCUCUA